rnacentral:rRNA from 1 species
CCUUUGACGUUAGCGGCGGACGGGUGAGUAACACGUGGGUAACCUACCUAUAAGACUGGGAUAACUUCGGGAAACCGGAGCUAAUACCGUAUAAUAUUUCGAACCGCAUGGUUCGAUAGUGAAAGAUGGUUUUGCUAUCACUUAUAGAUGGACCCGCGCCGUAUUAGCUAGUUGGUAAGGUAACGGCUUACCAAGGCGACGAUACGUAGCCGACCUGAGAGGGUGAUCGGCCACACUGGAACUGAGACACGGUCCAGACUCCUACGGGAGGCAGCAGGA